AUGAAAUGGGAAAAUGAGCAACUGUAGUUACAGUGUUCAGGGUACAUCUGAUGAUACAUUGUCAACAUUGCAUGCACACUACCAGACUAAAGUUUGGACACACCUUCUCAUUCAAUGGUUUUUAGUUUAUUUGUAUUGUUUCUAGAUUGUAGAUUAAUACUGAAUAUUAACACUUCUUUUAUUUACAACAUAAUUUCAUAUGUAUAUAUGCACUGAAUGAGAAGGUGUGUCCAAACAUUUGACUGGUGGUGUAGAUCAAGCUCAUCCAAGAUGAUAUGACAGCCACAUCACUGUAAGGGGCAAAGCCUUUUCUUCUCUUGAUCAAAGAAGUUCAUCUUGCAGGCACAGAGAAAAUCUGUUGGCCUGGAGAAGUCUGCUACUUUCAGAAAUGCUGCGUCACUGACGUCAUCACGUUAGAGUUACUCGUCCAAUCACACGCGUUGUCUCGCAAGAGCCGCGCAACACACAAAUGGACAAAGAAGUCGUCUUUCUUACGCGAGUUUCUACAAUGGCGGCUCGGUAUCGGCAGUCCGACUCACUACAGGCUCCUCGCAUGGAACAGCCUGGACAUGACCGACUGGUUCCAGUCAUACCAGCGACAGACACUGAGAAGAAAUUGUUGUGCGUUAUCAGCAGGCUGUCUGCCAGAGAGCACCGCUGGAGGAGAAGGAGCAGAAGCUGGAGCGGUGUCUGAGCUGCACGAGAGGAUGUCCGCCAUGGAAGCUCAAAUAAACACUUUCUCCAGUGGCGAGGAAAUUUAGUGGAAAAGAGGAGAGCAUGGUCCUAAAAUUGUGACUGGGCUCGCCUCACAAUGAGGCAGUCAGGACAUAUUUAGUUAAAACUUUGGCUGCAAGUCCAGAUGUGGAGGCAGAUGCCUUUCUAUCUGCUUGUAAAAAGCAUUUUGAAACUCAACGGUGAAACUACUGGCGAAUCAGGCGGAGGCCAUGAAGUCUUCUGCCCGGAGUCGCCAGAGAAGAAAGAGUCUGCUGGAUGCCAGGAAGAUGGUCCUUGCUCCAGAUAAAGAGGACUUAUGGAAGGGCAUCACAGCUGACAUGUCAGAUGAGGAGGAUGGCAGCGUUGACGGGGUGUGUGGAUGGAUAGUACGCCAUCCUUCCGCAGCCAGGACUUAUCCAACCUGUGUGCUGCCCUACAAGCAAGGCUUGAGGCUGAUGUAAGGAACACAGCUGCACAUCACAGGCGAUUUCACAGUGGACAGCCGUCUGACAGACUGAAGCCACAUAAGUAUGACACAGCAGCAGCAAAGAGACAUUUUAAGAGAGACCUAAUGCCUGAGACCAGCUCGGAGGUGAACUGGUCCGUUUUUUAGGUUUAAAUUUGUUUUGAAAUGUGUCAUUUUUUGUAAAUUUUCUUUCCUUUUUUAAAAAAGAACAGUUUAUCUUGUUGUAAUUUUAAUUUUGGAUUUUUGGAACUCUUGCAAUCUAUACUGUUCAAUAAAGCUCUUGUUUUUCAA